ensembl:snoRNA
AUCUUUUUGUGGAUCGUAAGUGUGAUGAUUGGGUGUUCAUGUGCAGCUGUCAGAUAUGCCACCCUUGAACCUUGUUACAACGUUGGCACACUAGCUGUUUAAGG